GAGUAAGAAAACAAAAGCGCUGGCUUGUGCAGGAGAAAGAUCCUCGGUUUGGUCUUCUCCCCGGUCUAGACAUCACAUCAUUAGCCACAAGUCUGCUACUUUAGCUAGAUAUUUUACACAAAAUGUCCACCACGACCGGCGGCGGCGAGUUUGGCAACCCUUUAAGGAAAUUCAAGCUCGUCUUCUUGGGUGAACAGAGUGUUGGGAAGACCUCCCUCAUAACCAGGUUUAUGUAUGACAGCUUCGACAACACUUAUCAGGCAACAAUCGGCAUUGACUUUUUGUCAAAAACCAUGUAUCUAGAAGAUCGCACGGUCCGACUCCAGCUUUGGGACACUGCUGGACAGGAGCGUUUCCGUAGCCUAAUUCCCAGCUACAUCCGUGACUCUACCAUUGCUGUGGUUGUUUAUGACAUCACCAAUCUUAACUCAUUCCAGCAAACUUCUAAAUGGAUUGAUGAUGUUCGAACAGAGAGAGGAAGUGAUGUCAUUAUUAUGCUUGUUGGGAACAAAACAGACUUGGCAGAUAAAAGGCAAGUUUCUGUUGAGACGGCAGAGAGGAAAGCUCGUGAGCUGAAUGUGAUGUACAUAGAGACCAGUGCCAAGGCUGGUUAUAACGUCAAGCAGACAGAUCACCACGGAGGAGGGCGAGCAGAGAGCUAAGGAACUGAAUGUCAUGUUCAUUGAAACCAGCGCAAAGACUGGCUACAAUGUCAAACAGCUGUUCCGCCGUGUUGCUGCAGCUCUGCCUGGGAUGGACAGCACACCAGAGAAGAGCAAAGAGGACAUGAUCGACAUCAAAUUGGAGAAGCAGCCAGAGAUGACUGUAACCGAGAGCAGCUGCUCAUGCUAGUACACCUUGUCCCCACCCAGCCUGCCCCCCAACACCUCACACACACACACACACCAACAGCUCGUCUCUCAGUGGCGACUCUCUCCACCCGUGGCACCCUGCCACUGGGAUAAAGAGCCUAUCUUUUGUUUUGUUUUUUCUCCUCUUUUUCAACUCGGUGACUUUUCAAAGUAACCAUGUGGAUGUGCAUUACUGUACUGAAUCAGAUUAUCUUUGGGGGAAAAAAUUGUUCAGAUGCAAACACUUAAAACAAAGAUGUUAAAUGAUACGUUCAGAUUUUUAUCCAGUUGCAUGACACUGUAUAUGAUUGCAGACCGACUUAGCUAACCUCUCUUGAGUUAUUGCACAGUUCAGAUUCUUAGUGCUGUUACUCUUGUCGAUGUAAAGUUGUAAACUGCUUGGGAUCGUGUCAAUUAAUACCAGGUUUAAUUCUCUGCCAAGUGUUUAUAUAUAUAUAUAUAUAUAUAUAUAUAUAUAUAUAUAAAUUUCAAAUAGAAAAGUUUUCCUGAAGAUGUUCUUUCUCUCAAGCUAGUCAUAUUUCCUCUAAUUUUAGGGAAGUGAAAGCGGAAUCUCACCAGUCAGUUUGCAUCAUAAAGCCGCGUUUGACUCAAAUUCCCUUUUUUAAAGUCAAAAAGGAUAAAUGGAACCAUUCUUUUUUCUGUCACAAAAAUAUUGAAGUCUUUAUAGAGUCAAGCUGCCAAACUGGAAUUGUGACAAAGUCAGUCCAUUUGAAAGAUUUUGCUGCCAAAAAAAUGAGUUAACAAAUGACAAUGGACUGGAAACCAUGAAAGGGAAGCCAAUUCCAAAAAAAAACAAGAAGGGUUACUGACCUAAACUUUGUCUGCAUUGUGACUUUUACCAGCUAUCGAUGUUCAGAUCUGCUGCACGCGUACUAACACAUCUGAGGAGGAGUGUGAAGUUGCUCAAACGCAUUUAGCUCGUCCCCUCUGAAGGACAGUCCUUCACUCCGAUCGCUAAAGGACGUAGCCACCAUGAUAGUUUGUGUUGUGUUGAUUACACUUGUUGCGAGACCAAGCAGCAUGUUCACCAUGCAGGAUUUCUAUGGAUAAGAACACAGAUGCCUUGCUUGUUUGUUCACUAUGUUGUGCACUGAAUCAAGCCACAAUAUUGUUAAAUAUCAAAGGAGCCUGCUGACCGGUUUAUGGCUUCACCAGUCGUUUUGUAGAGCUGUUAGAUAGACAUCCUCAGAUACAGCUAAUGCUUACUAACACCCUUGCUAUUUAAAAAUAAAUAAAGAGUGCAGAGAAGUUAGUUGCAGGAUCCUUUACUGCGUUGCUUUUGCCUGUGCAGGACUGUUGGUUUUAUGCAUUUAUUUAUUUUGUAACUUACAGAUGACAUUGUACGCUUGACCAAAAGUACAGAUGCUGACGCGCAUGCUAAAGGGUUGUUUUUUUAUUAUUUAAUUUAUUGUUUGCGUGUCUGCUGGGGUAAUAUUUUUUUCUCCUGUGUGUAUAUUGGUUUACAGUCGCAGGUAAAGGCUGCACCAUUUACACACACACAGUUUAACACCAUCCACAAACGACACCAGUCGUUGGCUGUUGCUUGUUUUGAACCGCUCUACAACCAAUUAGAAAGUUUUAGGUAUUUAAUUGAUUUGAAAUGAAACAUUUUAUCACGAGCAGCUCUUCUAUUGUCACUGACUAAAUAACGCAGCUUUGUGCUAUUCUGAAUUGUGUCUGUCUAUUUGAAAUAUGAUGUCUAAUCGUGUUUAGCAACGUUUGUGUGAAUAAUGUACUAUUACUAUCUUAUGUAUAAAAAAGGAGAGUUAAUGAAACACAAGUGUAGGCCUAUCACGUGGAAUUAAAUAAAGAUAUUUCACCAAAAUA